rnacentral:rRNA from 1 species
UUGCCCUAGUAACGGCGAGUGAAGCGGCAACAGCUCAAAUUUGAAAUCUGGCUCUUUUAGAGUCCGAGUUGUAAUUUGCAGAGGGCGCUUUGGCGUUGGCAGCGGUCCAAGUUCCUUGGAACAGGACGUCACAGAGGGUGAGAAUCCCGUACGUGGUCGCUGGCCUUCGCCGUGUAAAGCCCCUUCGACGAGUCGAGUUGUUUGGGAAUGCAGCUCUAAAUGGGAGGUAAAUUUCUUCUAAAGCUAAAUACUGGCCAGAGACCGAUAGCGCACAAGUAGAGUGAUCGAAAGAUGAAAAGCACUUUGGAAAGAGAGUCAAAUAGCACGUGAAAUUGUUGAAAGGGAAGCGCUUGCAGCCAGACUUGCCUUUAGUUGCUCAUCUGGGCUUUUGCCCGGUGCACUCUUCUAUAGGCAGGCCAGCAUCAGUUUGGGCGGUUGGAUAAAGGUCUCUGUCAUGUACCUCUCUUCGGGGAGGCCUUAUAGGGGAGACGACAUGCAACCAGCCUGGACUGAGGUCCGCGCAUUUGCUAGGAUGCUGGCGUAAUGGCUGUAAGCGGCCCGUCUUGAAACACGGACCAAGGAGUCUAACAUCUAUGCGAGUGUUUGGGUGUCAAGCCCGAACGCGUAAUGAAAGUGAACGGAGGUGGGAACCCUUUUAGGGUGCACCAUCGACCGAUCCUGAUGUCUUCGGAAGGAUUUGAGUAAGAGCAUGGCUGUUGGGACCCGAAAGAUGGUGAACUAUGCUUGAAUAGGGUGAAGCCAGAGGAAACUCUGGUGGAGGCUCGCAGCGGUUCUGACGUGCAAAUCGAUCGUCAAAUUUGGGCAUAGGGGCGAAAGACU